rnacentral:rRNA from 1 species
GAUGAACGCUAGCUACAGGCUUAACACAUGCAAGUCGAGGGGAAACGACAUCGAAAGCUUGCUUUUGAUGGGCGUCGACCGGCGCACGGGUGAGUAACGCGUAUCCAACCUGCCCAUCACUUGGGAAUAACCUUGCGAAAGUAAGACUAAUACCCAAUGAUAUCCCACGAAGGCAUCGGAAUGGGAUUAAAGAUUUAUCGGUGAUGGAUGGGGAUGCGUCUGAUUAGCUUGUUGGCGGGGUAACGGCCCACCAAGGCAACGAUCAGUAGGGGUUCUGAGAGGAAGGUCCCCCACAUUGGAACUGGGACACGGUCCAAACUCCUACGGGAGGCAGCAGUGAGGAAUAUUGGUCAAUGGGCGAGAGCCUGAACCAGCCAAGUAGCGUGCAGGAAGACGGCCCUAUGGGUUGUAAACUGCUUUUAUAAGGGAAUAAAGUGGGUCACGUGUGACUUUUUGCAUGUACCUUAUGAAUAAGGACCGGCUAAUUCCGUG